GCCUCAUGAUAGCUCAGUCAGCAGAACAUGAGAUUCUUAAUCUCAAGGUUGUGGGUUCGAGCCCCAUGUUGGGCA
rnacentral:tRNA from 1 species